AUACUUACCUGGCACCUCUGCGCUGUGAUCAAAAAGGCAACGCGGACGGCUGCGCUGCCUGUCAUUGCACGAAGACGUGCGGCGCGGCCGGGAAUGGGUCCUCUGGACUCAUCUCCGAUGCACAAUUUUUUGAUGUGGAGACAGGUAGCACACGCGGUUAACGCCGUCGUGUGUCUGUC
rnacentral:snRNA from 11 species